rnacentral:rRNA from 1 species
UACGAAGGGUGCAAGCGUUACUCGGAAUUACUGGGCGUAAAGCGUGCGUAGGUGGUUCGUUAAGUCUGCUGUGAAAGUCCAGGGCUCAACCCUGGAAUGCCGGUGGAUACUGUCGGGCUAGAGUUCGGAAGAGGCAAGUGGAAUUCCUGGUGUAGCGGUGGAAUGCGCAGAUAUCAGGAGGAACACCUAUAGCGAAGGCAGCUUGCUGGGACGACACUGACGCUAAGGCGCGAAAGCGUGGGGAGCGAACAGG